UGUGGACGUAGCCUAAACGUUUUAGGUGAACCACGUUAAAUAUUGUGUCAUUUAUUUUUGAUUUCGUUGAUCAUUUAUUUUAUUCCGUUGUGCAGUAGUGUUUAGUGCCACCGGGUCCUAACACUAGCCGCCCACGAGGACAUUAAAUAAGAAAAAGGUAAAAAAUUAAGGUCCCUAACUUGGUAUUGGUUAAAAUACAACUAUUCAUAGAUUUAGUAUAACAAAAGUAGUUCCUAACUGAUCUUUAUAUGAGGAACUGCUUCAAGUUAAUUGCUUGGUCUCCUUUUUGUGCAGGAAAAGUGAAAUUGAAUACUGUAUGGCACAAUCAAGACUCAAACCGGAGAUACUGCUUUUGGGGGAAUUUUUAGAGAUGAUAAAAAAGUAGCUAUUGGGAUAUUGAAGCCAACAAAAAUAACAAACCCAGUAUGAUUCUAAUAGGUGAGGUCUGGGGAGAGUAGUCUGUUUGACUCAAAAGAUGUUAAAACCUUUUGAAUAAAUCAAUCGAAGAUGAAGGAGUAAAUCUUAGUUGAAGAUAAUAAUCUCUAGAAUGAAUAAUAAUAGAUAAAGAGAAUGUGGUUGUUAAGUUUCUUUUCGUUCAAGAAUGGUAAAUUUCCUAGAGUAUUGAUGCCCUAUUAUGAGGUUUUUGUCCCCCUUAUGUACUAGAGAGAGACUCUUCUAAAUUGUAAGAAACAAAAUACAAGGAAUAUUCGACGGAAUAUUCUUAAUGUACCCUAAUGGGCUUACUCUACUGCAGGGGGCGUACAGUUUCUUCUUUUGUCCUAAGGUCGUCUUCCUCGGGACAUCGACUCGAAGAUACCCGGCCGUUUGUCGUACUCGUUGUAGGUCGUGGUCGGUCAAAUUUGGACUCAUACAGUUAGUCCCUCCGCUCGUCGGGGUUGCGACCGGAUGCGUCCUCGAUGAGCAGACUUCAUGCAUUCUUUUGGAGAAAUUUGACCUGUUGAAACAUUACGAUGUGGCCAACGGGAGAUGGUCAUCAUGUUCAGCAAAACACCAAGUGGUACACUUUACCGAGUAGCGAUGUCAGCUUUACGUGCGUCAUCAUUGCGCAAGUUUUCGAGGCAGGGAUUGACGGCUUGGUUCUUCGAUUCUUCCGUUGCUUUGAGACCUGCCCCCUCGAUUCUGGCGCCACCAACCCUAUAAAUAGGUGAAGGAUUUGAUUUUCCGAAAAACUUUAGCCAUUUCUCUCUUGAUAACUGAUAUCGCCCAACUAUGCCUUUUAAAGGACAAAGCGGUCGCUGCAAAUAUAAUCUGAUUUUAAGUCCGGAAUCGAAUCCUCAGGGAACUAACCUAUCUAUUACACUCUUCGGC
rnacentral:lncRNA from 1 species